rnacentral:rRNA from 1 species
AUUGAACGCUGGCGGCAUGCCUUACACAUGCAAGUCGAACGGUAACAGGCCUUCGGACGCUGACGAGUGGCGAACGGGUGAGUAAUACAUCGGAACGUGCCCAAUCGUGGGGGAUAGCUCGGCGAAAGCCGGAUUAAUACCGCAUACGAUCUACGGAUGAAAGCAGGGGAUCGCAAGACCUUGCGCGAAUGGAGCGGCCGAUGGCAGAUUAGGUAGUUGGUGGGGUAAAGGCUCACCCAGCCGACGAUCUGUAGCUGGUCUGAGAGGACGACCAGCCACACUGGGACUGAGACACGGCCCAGACUCCUACGGGAGGCAGCAGUGGGGAAUUUUGGACAAUGGGCGCAAGCCUGAUCCAGCAAUGCCGCGUGCAGGAUGAAGGCCUUCGGGUUGUAAACUGCUUUUGUACGGAACGAAAAAGCUCUGGCUAAUACCCGGAGCUCAUGACGGUACCGUAAGAAUAAGCACCGGCUAACUACGUGCCAGCCGCCGCGGUAAAAC